UAGGGAAUCUUCCGCAAUGGGCGAAAGCCUGACGGAGCAACGCCGCGUGAGUGAUGAAGGUCUUCGGAUCGUAAAACUCUGUUAUUAGGGAAGAACAAAUGUGUAAGUAACUAUGCACGUCUUGACGGUACCUAAUCAGAAAGCCACGGCUAACUACGUGCCAGCAGCCGCGGUAAUACGUAGGUGGCAAGCGUUAUCCGGAAUUAUGGGCGUAAAGCGCGCGUAGGCGGUUUUUUAAGUCUGAUGUGAAAGCCCACGGCAAAACCGUGGAGGGUCAUUGGAAACUGGAAAACUGGAGUGCAGAAGAGGAAAGUGGAAUUCAAAGUGGAGCGGUGAAAUGCGAAGAGAUAUGGAGGAAAACAAGUGGAGAAGGCGACUUUAUGGUCUGUAACAGACGCUGAUGUGCGAAAGAGUGGGGAUCAAACAGG
rnacentral:rRNA from 1 species